AUACGUAGGGGGCUAGCGUUAUCCGGAUUUACUGGGCGUAAAGGGUGCGUAGGCGGUCUUUCAAGUCAGAAGUUAAAUUCUACGGCUCAACCGUAGCCAGCUUUUGAAACUGGAAGACUUGAGUGCAGGAGAGGAGAGUAGAAUUCCUAGUGUAGCGGUGAAAUGCGUAGAUAUUAGGAGGAAUACCAGUAGCGAAGGCGGCUCUCUGGACUGUAACUGACGCUGAGGCACGAAAGCGUGGGGAGCGAACAGGAUUAGAUACCCUGGUAGUCCACGCCGUAAACGAUGAGUACUAGGUGUCGGGGGUUACCCCCCUCGGUGCCGCAGCUAACGCAUUAAGUACUCCGCCUGGGGAGUACGCUCGCAAGAGUGAA
rnacentral:rRNA from 2 species